rnacentral:rRNA from 1 species
UAGGGAAUCUUCCGCAAUGGACGCAAGUCUGACGGAGCAACGCCGCGUGAGUGAAGAAGGAUUUCGGUUCGUAAAACUCUGUUGUUAGAGAAGAACAGCGCAUAGAGUAACUGUUAUGCGUGUGACGGUAUCUAACCAGAAAGCCACGGCUAACUACGUGCCAGCAGCCGCGGUAAUACGUAGGUGGCAAGCGUUGUCCGGAUUUAUUGGGCGUAAAGCGAGCGCAGGCGGUCAAUUAAGUCUGAUGUGAAAGCCCCCGGCUCAACCGGGGUGGGUCAUUUGAAAUUGGUUGACUUGAGUGCAGAAGAGCAGAGUGGAAUUCCAUGUGUAGCGGUGAACUGCGUAGAUACAUGGAGGAACACCAGUGGCGAACGCGCCUCUCUGGUCUGUAACUGACGCAGAGGCUCGAAAGCGUGGGUAGCAAACUGG